GACGAACGCUGGCGGCGUGCUUAACACAUGCAAGUCGAACGGUGAAGCGCCUUCCUUUUUGGUGGGUGUGGAUGAGUGGCGAACGGGUGCGUAUCACGUGAGUAACCUUCCCCCUUCUUCUUGCUAACCCCAUGAAAUUGUUGCUAAUACAGGAUUUUCUGCGUCUGUCGCAUGCUGCGUCUGGGUAAGUUGUUGUUUCGGUGGGAGAUGAUCUCGCGGCCUAUCAGCUUGUUGGUGGGGUGAUGGCCUACCAAGGCGGGGACGGGUAGCCGGCCUGAGAGGGUGGCCGGGCACACUGGGACGGAGGCACGGCCAAGACUCGUACGGGACGCAGCAGUGAGGAAUAGUGCACGAUGGGGGGGAGACUGAUGCAGCGACGCCGAGUGAGUGAUGGAGGCCUUCGGGGUGUGAACCGCUUUCGCCAGUGAAGCAGGCCUGCCUCGUUUGUGAGUGGGUUGACGGUAGCUGGAUAAGAAGCGCCGGCUAACUACGUG
rnacentral:rRNA from 1 species